UACAGAGGGUGCAAGCGUUGUUCGGAAUUAUUGGGCGUAAAGAGCUCGUAGGCGGCUUGUCGCGUCGGUUGUGAAAGCCCGGGGCUUAACCCCGGGUCUGCAGUCGAUACGGGCAGGCUAGAGUUCGGUAGGGGAGAUCGGAAUUCCUGGUGUAGCGGUGAAAUGCGCAGAUAUCAGGAGGAACACCGGUGGCGAAGGCGGAUCUCUGGGCCGAUACUGACGCUGAGGAGCGAAAGCGUGGGGAGCGAACAGG
rnacentral:rRNA from 1 species